rnacentral:rRNA from 1 species
UACAGAGGUCCCAAGCGUUGUUCGGAUUCACUGGGCGUAAAGGGCGCGUAGGUGGCCCGGUCAGUCUUUGGUGAAAGCGCGGGGCUCAACCCUGCGUCGGCCAGGGAUACUGCCGCGGCUCGAGCACUGUAGAGGCAGGCGGAAUUCCGGGUGUAGCGGUGAAAUGCGUAGAUAUCUGGAGGAACACCGGUGGCGAAGGCGGCAUCCUGGACCGGUAUUGACGCUGAGGAGCGAAAGCCAGGGGAGCAAACGGG